rnacentral:sRNA from 1 species
AUCCUCAGGAGCCUGGAGCGCCAUGCAGCUGCUGACACAGUAAUGAGCUGAGCAUGAAGACAGAUUCCCGCCUAAACUUGCUGGACGAUGGGACCCUGAUGAUCCAGAACACACAGGAGACAGACCAGGGUAUCUACCAGUGCAUGGCAAAGAACGUGGCCGGAGAGGUGAAGACGCAAGAGGUGACCCUCAGGUACUUCGGGUCUCCAGCUCGACCCACUUUUGUAAUCCAGCCACAGAAUACAGAGGUGCUGGUUGGGGAGAGCGUCACGCUGGAGUGCAGCGCCACAGGCCACCCCCCGCCGCGGAUCUCCUGGACGAGAGGUGACCGCACACCCUUGCCAGUUGACCCGCGAGUGAACAUCACACCUUCUGGCGGGCUUUACAUACAGAACGUCGUCCAGGAGGACAGCGGAGAGUAUGCGUGCUCUGCGACCAACAACAUUGACAGCGUCCAUGCCACCGCGUUCAUCAUCGUCCAGGCUCUUCCUCAGUUCACUGUGACGCCUCAGGACAGAGUCGUUAUUGAGGGCCAGACCGUGGAUUUCCAGUGUGAAGCCAAGGGCA